UACGUAGGUGGCAAGCGUUGUCCGGAUUUACUGGGCGUAAAGAGCGCGCAGGCGGUCGUUCAAGUCGCGUGUGAAAGCCCCCGGCUCAACUGGGGAGGGUCACGCGAUACUGAUCGACUCGAAGGCAGGAGAGGGUAGUGGAAUUCCCGGUGUAGUGGUGAAAUGCGUAGAUAUCGGGAGGAACACCAGUGGCGAAGGCGAGUCUCUGGACAGCAACUGACGCUGAGGCACGAAGGCCAGGGGAGCAAACGGG
rnacentral:rRNA from 1 species